GACGAACCGUGCAAACGUUGUUCGGAAUCACUGGGCUUAAAGGGCGCGUAGGCGGGUCUCCAAAUCGGUGGUGAAAACUUUAAGCUCAAAUGGAAAAGUGCCGCCGAUACUGGGGAUCUCGAGGGAGGUAGGGGUCGAUGGAACUAAUGGUGGAGCGGUGAAAUGCGUAGAUAUCAUUAGGAACGCCGGUGGCGAAAGCGAUCGACUGGACCUCUUCUGACGCUGAGGCGCGAAAGUCAGGGGAGCAAACGGG
rnacentral:rRNA from 1 species